rnacentral:rRNA from 1 species
CUACGGGAGGCAGCAGUGGGGAAUCUUGGACAAUGGGGGAAACCCUGAUCCAGCCAUGCCGCGUGAGCGAUGAAGGCCUUAGGGUUGUAAAGCUCUUUCGUGGGGGAAGAUAAUGACGGUACCCCAAGAAGAAGCCCCGGCUAACUCCGUGCCAGCAGCCGCGGCAAUACGGAGGGGGCUAGCGUUGUUCGGAAUUACUGGGCGUAAAGCGCACGUAGGCGGACCAUCAAGUCGGGGGUGAAAUCCCGGGGCUCAACCCCGGAACUGCCUUCGAAACUGGCGGUCUUGAGUUCGAGAGAGGUGGGUGGAAUUCCGAGUGUAGAGGUGAAAUUCGUAGAUAUUAGGAAGAACACCGGUGGCGAAGGCGGCCCACUGGAUCGGUACUGACGCUGAGGUGCGAAAGCGUGGGGAGCAAACAGGAUUAGAAACCCCAGUAGUCC